ACAUAUUGUAAUGCUUAUUGAUAUGAUUUGUAAAGUUCAUUGAGGUUUUUUGAAACAUGGUUAAAAUACAAUGUUUAGAGAAAAUUGUUGAUUAUAAAUUGUUUAUAUUGUGUUUAAAAAUGAAAAGCUUUUCUGUAUGUAAUGUUCCUUUAAUAAUGCGUAAUGCGUCACAUGACUAAGAGAGGGAGUGAAGAACUGUGGGUCAGAGAGCAAUGGAUGCGAACAGGUCGUAACACGUGCGGCUCCUUCAAAACGUAUAAUCUCUGCAUAUGGUCCUAAAGGCGCACACGUUUUCACGGUGUCUUUCUUAGACCGUGACAUCUUCGGAUCGACACAGGAAAGAGAGAGCAAAAUAAAAGUCUAAAAGACAUCUG